GACGAACGCUGGCGGCGUGCCUAACACAUGCAAGUCGAACGGAAAGGCCCUGCUUUUGCGGGGUGCUCGAGUGGCGAACGGGUGAGAAACACGUGAGUAUCCUGCCCUUGACUUUGGGAUAUCUUCAGGCAACCGCGGAUAAUACCGGAGAGCAGCUCCUGCUGCAUGGUGGGGGUUGGACAGCUUCGGCGGUGGUGGAUGGACUCGCGGCUUAUCAGCUUGUUGGUGGGGUAGUGGCUUACCAAGGCUUCGACGGGUAGUCGGCCUGGGAGGGUGACCGGCGACAUUGGGACUGAGGUACGGCCCAGACGCCUACGGGAGGCAGCAGGGGGAAAUAUUGCACAAUGGGCGGAAGCGUGAUGCAGCAGCGCCGCGUGCGGGAUGACGGCCUUCGGGUUGUGAACCGCUGUCGCCUGUGACGAAGCGUGAGUGACGGUAAUGGGUAAAGAAGCACCGGCUAACUACGUG
rnacentral:rRNA from 1 species